rnacentral:lncRNA from 1 species
CUGAAAGAAUUUAACCAAGGGCCAGGGAUUUGCUUGUACAGACCCCAGGAAAAGCACUUGGCAGUGAACUAGAUAUUAAGUAAUUCAGUGUGGUUGGAAGAAAACUUAAGUAAUACACAAAUAUAGUUCAGUAUGGCUUGUGCAAAAGUCUGGAGUGGAGAAGCUAAAGUUGGAAGAGGAACUUUACAAGAAGCAUUAAGCACUUGCUGUUUUACAGAAGCAGAGGUAAUUUCACCUAAGAGGAAAUUCUGAUAAUCUCCAACAAGGGGCGCUAUUCACUUUCAUUUGAAUGAUGCUCCCCUCCCCAUCACGACGCAGCACAAAUAGUCAUUGCAGUUGAAAAGCCAACUGUAUACAAAGAUCCAUUUAACCUUAAAAGGAAGUUGUAUUCAUUUUUUUGUAGCAAGAAAAAUAAAAGGCCCAGAGACAAAUAUUGGGGUUCAAGCUGAAAGCUGAAAAUCAGAAAAGCAAAGCAUUAACUCUUACCUCUACCUCAGCUCAGACCACAUAGGUUGAUGGAUGGAUGGAUGAAUUAGCAGGUGAUUAGGUACACAGCGGAAGUUUCCCUUGGCCCACCUUGGAAGAGGUCUUUGUCAGAGGGAGGAGAAACUGGCUCUCACAGGCGUGCUCAACCACCAAUACCAGAGCAUCAGAGCAAAUGAC